CUACUAGCUACAGCCAUAUAACGGUCUCCAAGAAAACAAAUGUUUGCCUCAAUCACUGAAUCAGCUGAAUGAAUUUUCACUGAUAUCUUUGUCCUUGUUAUCAUUUACUGUAUCUUGUAGUGGUCACUAUUUUUAACUCUUGGUUGCAAUCAAGUGUUUUAUCAUGCAAGCACUCCUGCGAAAAUACCUUAUUCUUAGUGUGU